GACAGAGGGUGCAAACGUUGUUCGGAAUUACUGGGCGUAAAGCGCGUGUAGGCUGCUUGGAAAGUCGGGUGUGAAAUCCCCAGGCUUAACCUGGGAACUGCAUUCGAGACUGCAUUGCUAGAGUAUGGGAGAGGGAAGUGGAAUUUCCGGUGUAGCGGUGAAAUGCGUAGAUAUCGGAAGGAACAUCAGUGGCGAAAGCGACUUCCUGGACCAAUACUGACGCUCAUGUGCGAAGGCGUGGGGAGCAAACAGG
rnacentral:rRNA from 1 species